CAACUUGCAAGCAGACAGGAAGGAUUACACGUGGCUGAGAGCUGAGGAUGCGUGCCCAGCUCUAGGAGGAGAGGAGGCACCGCCAAACCUCAAAGGCCCACCAGGGACCUCCUGGUAGGACAUGAGCACAGGAACGACACUUCCAGAACGGUUCCAGCAGCAUGUUUGUGAGAAAGCAGAGGACCUCAGGAGCCAGCUCUUCUGCACCAGCAACACAACCAAUAAACGCGUGCUGGGCUUGGGGAAAAGGGAGGAGCCCGAGUAAUGCCAGAUGCACAGACAGAACAAAGGAGGCGGCUAUGACCUGGCCGGCAGAAUAUUCGAGAAAACUGAAAUGGAAGAUGGCUAAAAAUUCUACUUGUGAUGAAGACAGAUAAUCAGGAGGAUUGUGAAAUAAAGGUUAUAGACGGCAGCAAAGCCCUGGAGAGGCUGUUGAUUUUGGAGUGGCUGUGUAAUCCUAGUGAACUGCUAGCAAAGAGUAAUCAGUCAACGCUUUGAAGGUGUCUGGUUCAUCCCAAUACCUGGGAGCUGCUUUGAUAAAUAGUAUUCUUGGGACUAGGUAAAAUUUACCACUGUGGGAGUAAAUACAUGUGGGAACUUGACAGGUUAUUGUUCUUAUUUUUUAUUUAUAUUUAAACAAAAUCUUUUGUUUACAACAAAUCCCCACUUGCCCUAAGUUUAUUCUGUCCCAAACUGAAGUCACUAAAGCUCUAUGUACACUUGCAAUG